GUAAGGGAUAUUGCGCAAUGGGCGAAAGCCUGACGCAGCAACGCCGCGUGGAGGAUGAAGGCUUUCGGGUCGUAAACUCCUUUGGACGGGGACGAGGAAGGACGGUACCCGUCAAACAAGUCACGGCUAACUACGUGCCAGCAGCCGCGGUAAAACGUAGGUGGCAAGCGUUAUCCGGAUUUACUGGGCGUAAAGGGUGUGCAGGCGGUUUGUCAAGUGGUGUAUGAAAUCGCUCGGCUCAACCGGGCGCGGUUAUGCCAGACUGGCAGACUAGAGACUGACAGAGGGUGGUGGAAUUCCGGGUGUAGUGGUGAAAUGCGUAGAGAUCCGGAGGAACCCCAGAGGCGAAGGCGGCCACCUGGGUCAGUUCUGACGCUCAGACACGACAGCAUGGGGAGCGAACGGGAUUAGAUACCCCAGUAGUCC
rnacentral:rRNA from 1 species